rnacentral:rRNA from 1 species
UACGUAGGCAGCGAGCGUUGUUCGGAGUUACUGGGCGUAAAGCGUGCGUAGGCGGUUUCUAAGUUUGGUGUGAAAUCUCCCGGCUCAACUGGGAGGGUGCGCCGAAGACUGGAGGCUGGAGUGUGGGAGAGGUAGGCGGAAUUCCUGGUGUAGCGGUGAAAUGCGUAGAUAUCAGGAGGAACACCUGUGGUGUAGACGGCUUACUGGACCACUACUGACGCUGAGGCACGAAAGCGUGGGGAGCAAACAGG